UACGUAGGGCGCAAGCGUUGUCCGGAAUUAUUGGGCGUAAAGAGCUCGUAGGCGGUUUGUCGCGUCUGCUGUGAAAACCUAAGGCUCAACCUUGGGCUUGCAGUGGGUACGGGCAGACUAGAGUGCGGUAGGGGUGACUGGAAUUCCUGGUGUAGCGGUGGAAUGCGCAGAUAUCAGGAGGAACACCAAUGGCGAAGGCAGCUCACUGGGACGGUAUUGACGCUGAGACGCGAAAGCGUGGGGAGCAAACAGG
rnacentral:rRNA from 1 species